rnacentral:tRNA from 1 species
UGGGGUGUAGACCAGUGGCAGGGCACUUGCCUAGCAGGCAUGAAGCCCUAGGUUCAAUUCCCANCACCACAG